UCCAGAUUGAUCGCAAGAAGGAGGAGAAA
rnacentral:piRNA from 1 species